rnacentral:rRNA from 1 species
AGAUUGAACGCUGGCGGCAGGCCUAACACAUGCAAGUCGAGCGGCAGCACGGGUACUUGUACCUGGUGGCGAGCGGCGGACGGGUGAGUAAUGCCUAGGAAUCUGCCUGGUAGUGGGGGAUAACGCUCGGAAACGGACGCUAAUACCGCAUACGUCCUACGGGAGAAAGCAGGGGACCUUCGGGCCUUGCGCUAUCAGAUGAGCCUAGGUCGAUUAGCUAGUUGGUGAGGUAAUGGCUCACCAAGGCGACGAUCCGUAACUGGUCUGGAGAGGAUGAUCAGUCACGACUGGAACUGAGACACGGUCCAGACUCCGUACGGGAGCAGCAGGUGGGAAUAGUGGACAAGUGGGACAAAGCCUGAUCAGCCAGUCGCG